AGCGCAGGCGGUGACUUAAGUCUGAUGUGAAAGCCCACGGCUCAACCGUGGAAGGUCAUUGGAAACUGGGUCACUUGAAUGGAGCAGAGGAGAACGGAAUUCCAUGUGUAGCAGUGAAAUGCGUAGAUAUAUGGAGGAACACCAGUGGCGAAGGCGGUUCUCUGGGCUCACAUUGACGCUGAGGCUCGAAAGCGUGGGGAGCGAACA
rnacentral:rRNA from 1 species